rnacentral:rRNA from 1 species
AGUGAACGCUGGCGGUAGGCCUAACACAUGCAAGUCGAACGGCAGCACAGUAAGAGCUUGCUCUUACGGGUGGCGAGUGGCGGACGGGUGAGGAAUACAUCGCAAUCUACUUUUUCGUGGGGGAUAACGUAGGGAAACUUACGCUAAUACCGCAUACGACCUACGGGUGAAAGCAGGGGAUCUUCGGACCUUGCGCGAUUGAAUGAGCCGAUGUCGGAUUAGCUAGUUGGCUGGGUAAAGGCCCACCAAGGCGACGAUCCGUAGCUGGUCUGAGAGGAUGAUCAGCCACACUGGAACUGAGACACGGUCCAGACUCCUACGGGAGGCAGCAGUGGGGAAUAUUGGACAAUGGGCGAAAGCCUGAUCCAGCCAUACCGCGUGAGUGAAGAAGGCCUUCGGGUUGUAAAGCCCUUUUAUUGGGAAAGAAAAGCAGCAGGUUAAUACCCCGCUGUUCUGACGGUACCCAAAGAAUAAGCACCGGCUAACUUCGUG